UGGGGAAUAUUGCACAAUGGGCGAAAGCCUGAUGCAGCAACGCCGCGUGAGGGACGACGGCCUUCGGGUUGUAAACCUCUUUAGCAAGGAAGAAGCGAAAGUGACGGUACUUGCAGAAAAAGCGCCGGCUAACUACGUGCCAGCAGCCGCGGUAAUACGUAGGGCGCAAGCGUUAUCCGGAAUUAUUGGGCGUAAAGAGCUCGUAGGCGGUUUGUCGCGUCUGCUGUGAAAACCCGAGGCUCAACCUCGGGCCCUGCAGUGGGUACGGGCAGACUAGAGUGCGGUAGGGGAGAUUGGAAGCUCCUGGUGUAGCGGUGGAAUGCGCAGAUAUCAGGAAGAACACCGAUGGCGAAGGCAGAUCUCUGGGCCGUAACUGACGCUGAGGAGCGAAAGGGUGGGG
rnacentral:rRNA from 1 species